rnacentral:lncRNA from 1 species
AGCACAGAACUUACUAGUGAUGACAAAAAACUUGGCCAUGAAAAGAUAGAAGAUUCCUCUCUCGCGGAAGUAAUCAAUAAACCGCAAGAAUUGCACUCAUGCCCAGUUAAGCAAACUAGUCCUUCAAAAUCUGAAAAAAUCAAUGAUGCACCGAAAGAUUUAGCUCAGUCAGAGGCACAGCAAACAAGUAUCAGUUAUCCGAAAACUGAAGCAGUUCAGCCUACUGAAAAUUUGGGAAGCGCAAAAACCGGACUGUUCGAACAAUCCCUUGAUUUAGACCCCGAGACAGUUCGAUCUCUAGAAUUGUUCAAAGCGUCAAAAAAAAGUCAGCUGAAAGUGAUCGACUUUCUUUAGAUUCGGAGAAACAGGAGACAUUCUUAGAUACGUUAGCAGAACCAGACGAAUUCAGUGCAAGCUGGAACAGUGAAGCUGGUCCAGCCACAGCAGCAGAAGAAAUUUUCUGUGAUCCUGCAUCAUUUGAUUUUCUGGUACAGAGGGGCAACAAUAACAUAAGUUCUAAUCUGUACAAAAAGUCCUUGUUCGUACGAUUCGAUCCAUUAGUCAACGCUCAAUCUCCAACUCAAAUAGAGAGACAUCUAACCGCAUCUUUAAAAAUGGCCGAUAAUAAUUGUAGUGAAGAAAUUCAAAAAUCCCAGUCGAAGAAAAGUCCAAGUCCAGUCAGGACGCCCCUGAAAAAUCCAGCUCUGGAGGCUGUCGGGAAACUGAUAGAAGCCUCGCCAAGUGUACCCGGAGUUGAUUCCUCAGCGUUGGAAGCGGAUUUGGCAAAACUGCGCGAACUUUUAGUUCAACAAGAAAAGGAAUACAAAGUAAGCUUGUUUUAAAAAAAAUUGAACAGAUACUUUUGGAAUUUAAUUUAUCCAAUAAGUGCUUGCUAAAAUCUAUAAACAUUUAAAACAUAUUUCUAAUGGAUGGUUUUGAAUUAUGAUAUUUUUACAAUUCAGAGGUUUCUUGAUGAGAUAUAUUUCCAAAUAGUUGGAAAUUCAGCCGACUUGCAUUUUCUCUCAGAUCUAAUCAGAUUUGCCAUGCUAACAGUCCAAUUGGUUUGGGACAAGUCAGGGCAAAUAUUUGAAAAUCUUGAAUAUUAGAUGUUUAAUAUUUUUCAGAUUUUAGAUCCGAAUUUACACCUUAAACUCAAAUUCUCGUAUGUACUAUAUAAACAAAUGUUCGAAAUUUUGAGUAUUUUUGUAAGAUAUGAAAUAUUUUGCAAGAUAUCCCAUCAGAAUGCAUGCAUUAGCCCUAGUGAAAUUGUGACCUCUCUCUGCGGGUUUGGAGCGGUCUGAUCGUCCAAUUUUUCAUAAUGUCAGGGGCGGGUGACUGCAAAUCAAUAUCAGAAGAGUUUAAGAACUUCCCUAUUUUUUUCAGGGGCCCAGAAAACCUGGAAAGUAAGGGAAUUUCAUGAGAAGUGUGUCAGCAUGGCAAUCUCAGCCAGUGCCAUUCUAGAAAGAGCCAACAAUCUUUGAGUGUCUUUUGUCUUAACUUUAAUCUGUAGAAGUGGAGAUCGUGUUCAUAGUCUAGUAAAAGUUAGUGUUCUUAAAAGAGGAACAAAAGUGUAUUUACCUUCGGGAAAUACUUAAAUAAAUUUAAGUGGAGGUGUUGCUUGAAUGUCAGGGAAAGUCAGAGAAUCGAAAAAUGAAGAAACUAUGAAAAUCCUGGUAGAAUUGCACUCUAAUCCGGCAAUAUGGCAUCUUUACCAUGAUAGACUAGAAUUUUAAAUACGAAUAACAAUGAAAGAUAAUUAUCAUGUGGAGGCUGCACAAGAAAUUUCAAGAUUUAAAGAUUACUCUCUUGCAUGUAAUAAUAUAAUAAUAAUAAAAUACCUUUGUUCAAGUGAAUAAUUUUUAAAUUUUGGAUGAGAAUUUCUAAUGGCUUUUUCUGGAAAUGAUGUUUUUUGAAUUGCUAAUUUCAAAUCGCUGUUACUGUGGAUUGACAUAACAUAUCUAGUCUCAAAAUGUUUGAUGCAUACUCCUCUACUCUCUGGUAUUAAUAAUUCAUUUCAGGGGUUGGUAGAUGGAAAGCUCUCUUUUCCUGUGGAUCGUCCCAGUUUGCCAGGCUGUGAAAUAAAAUAUAGACAUUUUACAUGGGUUUAAUUAAGGAAAAGUAUCUGCCAAUGGUGGAUUGUUACAUAUGCACUUCUUAAAAAGUAAUUGAACAUUA